UACAGGGGGUGCAACCGUUGCUCGGAAUCAUUGGGCGUAAAGCGCACGUAGGCGGUUCGUUAUGUCGGAUGUGAAAGCCCUUGGCUUAACCGAGGAAGUGCAUCCGAAACUGGCGAGCUAGAGUACUAAAGAGGAUCGCGGAAUUCCCGGUGUAGAGGUGAAAUUCGUAGUUAUCGGGAGGAACACCGGUGGCGAAGGCGGCGAUCUGGGUAGAUACUGACGCUGAGGUGCGAAAGCGUGGGGAGCAAACAGG
rnacentral:rRNA from 1 species